AGAGUUUGAUCAUGGCUCAGAUUGAACGCUGGCGGCAGGCCUAACACAUGCAAGUCGAGCGGUAGAGAGAAGCUUGCUUCUCUUGAGAGCGGCGGACGGGUGAGUAAUGCCUAGGAAUCUGCCUGGUAGUGGGGGAUAACGUUCGGAAACGGACGCUAAUACCGCAUACGUCCUACGGGAGAAAGCAGGGGACCUUCGGGCCUUGCGCUAUCAGAUGAGCCUAGGUCGGAUUAGCUAGUUGGUGAGGUAAUGGCUCACCAAGGCGACGAUCCGUAACUGGUCUGAGAGGAUGAUCAGUCACACUGGAACUGAGACACGGUCCAGACUCCUACGGGAGGCAGCAGUGGGGAAUAUUGGACAAUGGGCGAAAGCCUGAUCCAGCCAUGCCGCGUGUGUGAAGAAGGUCUUCGGAUUGUAAAGCACUUUAAGUUGGGAGGAAGGGCAGUUACCUAAUACGUGAUUGUUUUGACGUUACCGACAGAAUAAGCACCGGCUAACUCUGUGCCAGCAGCCGCGGUAAUACAGAGGGUGCAAGCGUUAAUCGGAAUUACUGGGCGUAAAGCGCGCGUAGGUGGUUAGUUAAGUUGGAUGUGAAAUCCCCGGGCUCAACCUGGGAACUGCAUUCAAAACUGACUGACUAGAGUAUGGUAGAGGGUGGUGGAAUUUCCUGUGUAGCGGUGAAAUGCGUAGAUAUAGGAAGGAACACCAGUGGCGAAGGCGACCACCUGGACUGAUACUGACACUGAGGUGCGAAAGCGUGGGGAGCAAACAGGAUUAGAUACCCUGGUAGUCCACGCCGUAAACGAUGUCAACUAGCCGUUGGGAGCCUUGAGCUCUUAGUGGCGCAGCUAGCGCAUUAAGUUGACCGCCUGGGGAGUACGGCCGCAAGGUUAAACUCAAAUGAAUUGACGGGGGCCCGCACAAGCGGUGGAGCAUGUGGNUUAAUUCGAAGCACGCNAGANCUUANCAGGCCUGACAUCCNAUGNACUUUUCUAGAGAUAGAUUGGUGCCUUCGGAACAUUGGA
rnacentral:rRNA from 1 species